rnacentral:rRNA from 1 species
GACGAACGCUGGCGGCGUGCUUAACACAUGCAAGUCGAGCGAGGGGCUUCGGCUCCUAGCGGCGAACGGGUGAGUAACACGUGGGCAACCUGCCCCGAGCUCUGGAAUAACCUCGGGAAACCGGGGCUAAUGCCGGAUAUGACAUCACUGGGCAUCCGGUGGUGUGGAAAGAUUUAUCGGCUCGGGAUGGGCCCGCGGCCUAUCAGCUUGUUGGUGGGGUGAUGGCCUACCAAGGCGACGACGGGUAGCCGGCCUGAGAGGGCGACCGGCCACACUGGGACUGAGACACGGCCCAGACUCCUACGGGAGGCAGCAGUGGGGAAUAUUGCGCAAUGGGCGAAAGCCUGACGCAGCGACGCCGCGUGAGGGAUGACGGCC